UACAGAGGGUGCGAGCGUUAAUCGGAAUUACUGGGCGUAAAGGGCUCGUAGGCGGCCAACUAAGUCAGACGUGAAAUCCCUCGGCUUAACCGGGGAACUGCAUCUGAUACUGGAUGGCUUGAGUUCGGGAGAGGGAUGCGGAAUUCCAGGUGUAGCGGUGAAAUGCGUAGAGAUCGGGAAGAACAUCGGUGGCGAAAGCGCUCUACUGGACCGCAACUGACACUCAGGGACGAAAGCUAGGGGAGCGAAUGGG
rnacentral:rRNA from 1 species